rnacentral:pre_miRNA from 1 species
ACUGUAUGUGGCUUGAACGCCAAUAUCAGUGUGGAGUCCGUAAUUAGCUGCGAAAUUCAAUGGCAUUGUGGUGGUUGCAAGGGCGAAUUACACCAACGUGUGCACGCAGCUUCCUUUGUUGAAUUUCGCAGCUAAUUAAGGAUUCUACACAGCUUGGCGUUUGUAUUGUUAUACAGU